UUUUUUUUUUUAUUGCCCUUGUAGGCAGACGAGCAUACGGCCCACCUGAUGGUGAGUGGUUACCGUCGCCCAUGGACUUCAGCAAUGCCAGGGGCAGAGCCAAGCCGCUGCCUACCGUUUAAUACUCUCCACAAGCCUCGUUUGAAGAAGGACAUGUCAUAGCGCUCGGGAAACACCGAGCAACCCUUCGAUCAAUAAUACUACUAGAUUCGCGAUUAGCGCUUCAAAAACGGCCCGAAAAAUAAGACCACAAAUAAAUUUGUGGUCUUAUUUCAAAUUAGUAUGGUCCAAUCAUAGCCAACACUAAGACGUCAAAACGCUGCAAUGCGCGUUCAAAAACUGAGUAAAAAACCACCGUAACACCAAGGUUUUGGAAGGAAUAUCUUUUUUUGAUUUCCUAGUAGCCCCUUGUCGCUGUGCACAAUGGAUAUAUAUUGUCGCGAAAGAAAGAGGAGAAGAAAUAUAGAACCCUUAUAAAAAUUCUAGAAUUGUUCAAUGGUGGUGGCAAAUCAAUGCAAAAAAAGUAUUAAAAAAACUUUAUAUGUAUGUGUAAAUAUUUUAAGCAUAUAUGCUGAAAAGGAUUUGUUUUCUGGGGGAAACGAACACAGCCAUAAAAUAAGCCUAAAUUAAACUGAUUAUAGAAAAAUUCAUUGAUAUAAGAUUACAUUAUAUUUGUAAAAAAGAAACCGCUCAUAUAAAAAUGACUUCUAAAAGACAGCUUUAUAACAAAGUGAAUCUGUUUAAAGGUAAUUAAACCUACAUUAUUGUUUUAAUUACUUCUGUAUAAAAAAUACGUGGAAAACAUGUUUCGUGUUUCCUUUCAUAUUUUUUUUACUUUAUUCAAUUUAAUUUUUUAUCACCUAUUUGUUGUAAUAGCGGCAAUGUAAAAUAUUAUCUACUACUUUUUUGAAUCGGUCAAAAAUAGUUGCGACCAUACAAAACAAACCUAAAACAAAUAUGUAUAUUCUGCAACUCUAUGUCUUUCAAUACUUACUGUGUUCUGAGCAUUGAAAUGUAAUACCAAGAACUACAUCUAGUUCCACAAUACAAUAAGCACGAAAUUUUAAACAAAUAUUUUUAACCUUAUAAAUUAGGCUUUAAGUAUCAUUUUAGAAUAAAUAUUUUUGUACUGAUGACUUUUUAUGUUCAA